GCUAGGAGUGAGCAACAGGCUGUACGUUCUGUAAAACAUUGUCUCUUUCGGAAUAGCAUUCCUCAAAUAUCAAGACUACCAAUCUCAUCCUUCGUUGCACAGGAUAAAUCUCAAGCAAUUUGACCCUAUUCCCAACAAACACCACAGGGAAUAUUGGGCGACGAGAUUUUUGCAAUUUCUCCAAUCUCACUCGAGUAGACGAAAUCCGAGUUGAAUUUGUAUACUGAAAACUCUAUUCAUUUUAAGGAAAGGGUUUUUCGAGAAGCCAAGUUAGCAUUCAUUUUUGUGGUAUACGGAAUUUCAGAGGAUCGUAAAGUAGGAACAGGAAGAAAGUGGUUAGUGAAUUAUUAAAAGCUUUGACCAUCAACUCCACAUCGCACGAUUGCUCCUUUCUUUCCUUCCUUUAUAAAAAAUCAACUCUAAUUCCGGGAGAGAUUCUGGAGCAGAAGGAACUGGAGAGUCUCUCGAAUCUCGAGCUUUUCUGCCCCGCUGGAUAUCCAUAACUUGCUCCCUGACGGACGUUGCUGCAGACAAGUCCUCUUCCUUUGGUAAAAUAAGUUCACAGAAGAUCUUCUAACGAGACGAACUCCGAGGUGAAGCACCCCAAGGCCACAUGAACGUCUGAAACCGAGAGGAAUUCAUUUUCCAUGGAAUAAAACAAUCACAUAUCAAGCAGCCAGACACAAAUUAUUUACUUUGUAACUUUCUUCCCAUCCUAUGAAAAUAUACAAUUGCCGCAUUCAGAAUAAUCGAUACAAAUGAAAACGGACCAUCCACGCUCUUUAUAAAUGUUCAGGAUUAGAUGUGCUUGACUCAUUUCUCGUAUCCAAGAGUUUCCAAUCUCAGAGUUUCAUAACUGUACUUGGCGAGAAAGGAGAUCAUUCGUCUUUCUUCUUUAGCAUUCUCCUGCUAAGAGGAUGUCAAGCUUGUGAUUGAGUUGAAAUUCAAUCAGACCUGAUGUCUAUGUCCAUGGAAAAUUGACUCGCGUUCUCCUCAUCCUCAGAGGCAACUGACCCUGUAGGGUUUCUUAUUAGAGGCUGACUAGCUCUUCAAGAAAAACAAAAUAGCUUAGACCACUCGACAAGACGAGACAACCGGAAAAAGUUGAACAAUCAAACUCAUCAUCUUGAGCUGAUAAAAACCUGUCGCCCACUUGAGCACAUUUCAUCGAGUCUGAAUCUCCUCGUUAAUCUGAUUUAAAACAGAGACAAUUGUUUCCCAUAAAAUUAUUUCAGAUAAAAAAACCUAUUGAGUCCGGGUAAUCUUAAGACCCUUGAUAUACGUACGUACUUAUACAUCGAGUGCAUAUAGCACCCAAUUGGCGUGCAUACUUAGAGAAGAGACAUUUGGAUCGAGAAAACUUUGGAUUGCACUGCAAACACAAAUAAUUUUCAAGAUGAAUUACAACAGUACAGCGAACCAAGGGUACGGAAUCCCUGUUGGAGGUCACCGCAAUCAGCCAGUCGACAAAGAACCUGUUACUGCAGCCCUCGUCGCCAUCGUCAUUCUUGGAACAGGACUCGUGCUCAUUCUGCUCUGCUGCUACAUUUGCGUGCUGAGGAGACUUUGCUGUCCAGACUGGGGAAGGAAGGGGACUCACCACCCUCGAAGCACGACCACACAACAAACUUCCUGUGACAUUACCAAAUUCGACACUCUUACAGCCGAGCGGUCCCCAUCUUAAGUUGACUUUGUGCAGUCGGCGAGAUUUGUAUUAUUAGGAUAAAUUAGGCUAAAAGUAGUAUUAGCAGGAAUGAAAUAGAAGAAAGGCUUCUCAAUGAUACAGAUACUUAUCAUGCUUUAUUGAGAGGCUAUAAACGGGAUUGUGCAUCAAACCGAUGCAUAAUCCCGUUUAUAACCCCCAUCUAUAACCUGAUUAAAGGAAAGUGCUGUGCUGCUUUCCUUUAGUCACCAGCAGCAGCACACAGAUUGGUCGAGCAGUAAGGAUAAAGUUCAAUCUGCUACUUCGUUUAUGAUAUUGCGGUUCCUCUCCUUCGGUGGCAUUGCAUUAAGAGGGACUUUAAACAAUCCCAUUCACGAGGACAUAUUCCUCUGGCCGGGAUAUUUAUACGAUAGGAAAAGACUUAAUGUUGCACACUCAUAAUCAUAAAAGAGAAAGUGUCUGCCAAACUUAAGCUGACCAGCACUGAUCCUCGUAUUAUCUCCCAGCAGCACAUUCAAGCCAUUUCCCUCCCCGUUGUGAACCUCUGAAGAAAGCUAUUGACAUUUAGCAGCCUCAAAUAUAUAUUGGCUGUACCGUAUACUUCAACAGACUAUACAUACGUAUACGUACAUAUAUGUCCUUGUUUCCCCCAUUUCCGUCAAAUAAACACCAGAACAAUUGACCGUCCAUGACCAGUUUUCUCCCAGAAAUUCCCCCCGACCCCGUGAAAUGUAGCUGCAAUGAGGAUUUAAUUGGAUCAGAUUUUUUAACAUAGUUCACUUAUAUUUAACAGUAAUAGUAUUGAAUGAAUCGGAUAUAAAACUGUCCCCUCACACGAAAGUAAGAGGACGACUGGGAUUUUGAUGAAAAUGGAAUCUAAAUAUGUACAUACAUACGUGUCUCACUCUAUUAUGCAUGAGUUUUGUUGAAUGGAUUGGUGGUUGGGUCGAACGAGUGGGGGUCUGAGAGCUCCAUUCAUAAUUGAUUCCAGUAGAUUUCCUCAUGCAAAGGUGAGAGUUAAAUCAGUUAAAUUUAUCUAUCUCAGAUUCCCUACGACCAACAGCAUCCUUAUCUCCUUUGCACUCACAUCACAACCCGUGCACUGCCAGCAAUCGCCCAACAACAGCAGGUGGCAUGGAUUCAAUACAUUUUAGACAAUGUCGUGUGAAUGCUUCCAGUGAAAGUCAGUCAAAGUGAAUGCAGACUCUUUGUGCACGUAAUGGGUGCAUGAGGUUAAUGCACUGAAUGAAAUGUAGAAGUAUAUACGGUUCGUAAUGCCACAGUCUUUUGAUUAAAGAAGAGAAAGAUGAAAGUUUUGCUGGUGGUUUUGUCAUGGAGAGAACAAAUCUCUGGAAUCCUAACCUAUUUACGCUAAUCCCAUAAAACCCGUUCCUCAUUGUGUUCCUCUACAAUAUCGAUGUAUACAACUCUCUUUUUUUAUGCUGCUUUCUCAUUUUCUACCAGAUUUUCUUUCACCUAUUUCCUGUCUUCUUUUCAAUUACAAUGCAACCUUGUAAAGUGUUACACGUAGAUUUGGAUGGACUAAUUUUAAUUGGUUUGCGUUCUGAAGUGGCUGAUUCAUCAUCUUAAAAUCAUCCGCGAAGGCGGAUUAGAAGAAAUGCAAACCUAUUUCUUAAUGGAGAAAGUCAGUUUGAACAAUUUGUAGCGAUUUAGAAAUUUUGUAGGGAUUUUUUUCAAAAUUGUCGGCCACAAACCCAACGCACUCAUCAAGAAGUUAACAUCUUAACUUAUUUUAGGGUGUGAAGGAAUUGAAAUUGGUCCAUUAAGAUGUAUGUUGAGACACUUGACUGGUUCUCAUCGCUCGUGCACAAGCAAAGCUCCACUUUCUCUUUUAUCUAUGUAGCUCCUCGCUCUCAAUCUCACGUUACGUUGUCAUCCGCUUCAAUCCGGUUUUGAACUUGUAUUAUAUAUUGGAUAAGCACAGUAAUACGAAAAAAAUGUUAUGUAAGUGUAGCUGUUAACUCUAGUUGAUAGCUGGAAUUAAUGUGAGAGCUAAAAUCUGAAUUUGAAAAUUUGAAAAUUCUGCAAUGAGUAAAUUGCACAAUCAUUUGUCUCACAUCUAGUUGAAUACAUGGUCAUUUUUGUUAUAUCACAGUUUUGGUAACAUUGCUAAAACAUAACGUUAACUAAAUUUUUAGUAUGUUAUGCAUAAUUUUUAAUCACAUCUUUAAUCUUAAUUAGUAUAUCAAAUUAAAAAAUAAAUUAAGAUACCACAGGCAGUUGCUAAUGGACGCUGUUGUUGAUAAUCUGGUGCUUAUUGUGAAUAUUUAGUAUUAUCUUACAGAAUAAAAAAUACGAAUUUUAAACGUUAUUUUACAUCCAGAGCUAAGUAAAGUGUUAUUGUCUGUAGUUUGACAUUGUUGUAGUAACAUUUUAUUCAAAACUAAAUUUAUGUCAUUGUAAAUGUACUUCAAAGUAAAAUAAACGUAAUUGAAUGCCUGGAAAA